UUCCGGUUGAUCCUGCCGGACCCGACUGCUAUUUGGGUGAGGAUAAGCCAUGCGAGUUGAAUGGGAAACCUAAAUUUCCCAUGGCAAACUGCUCAGUAACACAUGAUCAACUUACCCUAUAGAGAAAAAUAACCUCGGGAAACUGAGGAUAAUGUUUCAUAGUUGAAUUGGCUUGGAAAAGUUUUUCGACGAAAGGGGUAAAAAAAAUGGUUUUUAUCUGCUAUAGGAUAGGAUCGUGUUCGAUUAUGGUUGUUGGUGAGGUAAUGGCUCACCAAGCCGACAAUCGAUAGGGGCCGUGAGAGCGGGAGCCCCGAGAUGGGUACUGAGACAACGACCCAGGCCUUACGAGGCGCAGCAGGCGCGAAACCUCCGCAAUACACGAAAGUGUGACGGGGUUACCCAAAGUGUUCAAUAGAACUGUGGUAGGUGAGUAAUGUUCCCUACUAGAAAGGAGAGGGCAAGGCUGGUGCCAGCCGCCGCGGUAAAACCAGCUCUUCAAGUGGUCGGGAUAAUUAUUGGGCUUAAAGUGUCCGUAGCCGGUUUAGUAAGUUCCUGGUAAAAUCGGGUAGCUUAACUAUCUAUAUGCUAGGAAUACUACUAUACUAGAGGGCGGGAGAGGUCUGAGGUACUGUAGGGGUAGGGGUGAAAUCUUAUAAUCCUUGUUGGACCACCAGUGGCGAAGGCGUCAGACUGGAACGCGCCUGACGGUGAGGGACGAAAGCCAGGGGAGCGAACCGGAUUAGAUACCCGGGUAGUCCUGGCCGUAAACGAUGCAUACUAGGUGAUGGCACGGCCAUGAGCCGUGUCAGUGCCGUAGGGAAACCGUUAAGUGUGCCGCCUGGGAAGUACGGUCGCAAGGCUAAAACUUAAAGGAAUUGGCGGGGGAGCACCACAACGGGUGAAGCCUGCGGUUCAAUUGGAUUCAACGCCGGGAAAUCACUAGUGCGGCC
rnacentral:rRNA from 1 species